rnacentral:rRNA from 1 species
UCCGGUUGAUCCCGCCGGACCUGACUGCUAUCGGAUUGAUACUAAGCCAUGCGAGUCUUUGUAGUAAUACAAGGCAGACGGCUCAGUAACGCGUAGUCAACCUACCCUAUGGACGGGAAUAAUCUCGGGAAACUGAGCAUAAUACCCGGCGUACCACCAUUCCUGGAAUGGUUGGUGGUUAAAAUGAUUCGUCGCCGUAGGAUGGGACUGCGACUUAUCAGCUUGUUGGUGAGGUAAAGGCCCACCAAGGCGAUUACAGGUACGGGCUCUGAGAGGAGAAGCCCGGAGAUGGGUACUGAGACACGGACCCAGGCCCUAUGGGGCGCAGCAGGCGAGAAAACUUUGCAAUGUGCGAAAGCACGACAAGGUUAAUCCGAGUGAUUUCUGCUAAAGGAAUCUUUUGCCAGUUCUAAAAAUACUAGUGAAUAAGGGGUGGGCAAGUUCUGGUGUCAGCCGCCGCGGUAAAACCAGCACCUCAAGUGGUCAGGAGGAUUAUUGGGCCUAAAGCAUCCGUAGCCUGCUCUGUAAGUUUUCGGUUAAAUCUAUAUGCUCAACGUAUAGGCUGCCGAAAAUACUGCAGUGCUAGGAAGUGGGAGAGGUAGACGGUACUUGAUAGGAAGGGGUAAAAUCCUUUGAUCUAUCGAUGACCACCUGUGGCGAAGGCGGUCUACCAGAACACGUUCGACGGUGAGGGAUGAAAGCUGGGGGAGCAAACCGGAUUAGAUACCCGGGUAGUCCCAGCUGUAAACGAUGCAGACUCGAUGAUGCAUUGGCAUAUAGCCAGUGCAGUGUCGCAGGGAAGCCGUUAAGUCUGCCGCCUGGGAAGUACGUACGCAAGUAUGAAACUUAAAGGAAUUGGCGGGGGAGCACCACAAGGGGUGAAGCCUGCGGUUUAAUUGGAUUCAACGCCGGA